AAAUUCUGGACCGUCAACUCCAACGCAGGUUGCUUCCGCAGUUGUGGCCAGUACCCAUUUCCAGCUGGGUGGACUGAGACAAUGUAGAUUAAGUGUUUUGUCCAAGGACAC